UCUUCUAACCAGGGACCACUAGAGGUAUAGGAACACACAGUCUUCUAACCAGGGACCACUAGAGGUAUAGGAACACACAGUCUUCUAACCAGGGACCACUAGAGGUAUAGGAACACACAGUCUUCUAACCAGGGACCACUAGAGGUAUAGGAACACACAGUCUUCUAACCAGGGACCACUAGAGGUAUAGGAACACACAGUCUUCUAACCAGGGACCACUAGAGGUAUAGGAACACACAGUCUUCUAACCAGGGACCACUAGAGGUAUAGGAACACACAGUCUUCUAACCAGGGACCACUAGAGGUAUAGGAACACACAGUCUUCUAACCAGGGACCACUAGAGGUAUAGGAACACA